rfam:Candida glabrata strain CBS138 chromosome H complete sequence.
GAAAGUGAUGACAAACAGUCGAUUUUUCGACAGCUUUAUAAAGUGACUAGUGUUUUUAACACGAUGUUGUCUACUUAAAAUACACCAUCUUUCGGGACUGAUC